rnacentral:rRNA from 1 species
AGCGUAGGCGGUUCGAUAAGUCGGAUGUUAAAUCUCCCGGCUUAACUGGGAGGGGUCAUUCGAUACUGCCGGACUUGAGGACAGUAGAGGAAGGUGGAAUUCCCGGUGUAGUGGUGAAAUGCGUAGAUAUCGGGAGGAACACCAGUGGCGAAGGCGGCCUUCUGGGCUGUUUCUGACGCUGAGGCUCGAAAGCGUGGGGAGCGAACAGGAUUAGAUACCCUGGUAGUCCACGCCCUAAACUGUGGGCACUAGGUACAGGGAGUAUCGACCCUUCCUGCGCCGUAGCUAACGUGUUAAGUGCCCCGCCUGGGGACUACGGUCGCAAGACUAAA